rnacentral:rRNA from 1 species
UGGGGGAUAUUGCACAAUGGGCGCAAGCCUGAUGCAGCGACGCCGCGUGAGCGAAGAAGUAUUUCGGUAUGUAAAGCUCUAUCAGCAGGGAAGAAAAUGACGGUACCUGACUAAGAAGCUCCGGCUAAAUACGUGCCAGCAGCCGCGGUAAUACGUAUGGAGCAAGCGUUAUCCGGAUUUACUGGGUGUAAAGGGAGCGUAGGCGGCUUGGCAAGUCUGAUGUGAAAAUUUGGGGCUCAACCCCAAACGUGCAUUGGAAACUGUAGAGCUAGAGUGUCGGAGAGGCAAGCGGAAUUCCUAGUGUAGCGGUGAAAUGCGUAGAUAUUAGGAGGAACACCAGUGGCGAAGGCGGCUUGCUGGACGAUGACUGACGCUGAGGCUCGAAAGCGUGGGGAGCAAACAGG